rnacentral:misc_RNA from 1 species
GUAUUCACAUACCGACGGAAUUAUCAAGUUGAAAGCGCCGUGUCGAGGGAUUUUCUCAGUUUACUUUUUCCAUUCACGUGUCAACUAUUAUCACAGUCUACUCUUGUUUAAUAAUUCAUCAGUUCGCGACGUAGAGUAAUAUUUAGUAGCACGUGUGCGCGCGUGCAACCGCGAACGACACGCAAACCUUUAUGUGCUUAACUUGCAAUUCUCUUUUAUCUCAUCAGAAGACAUCCACAUGUCGCUCUAAAAAAUACAAAUAAGAGAAUGAAGCUUGAAGGAAUGAAGGUAAAUAAAAGCCAAAGUUAAUGGAAGAAGAAAAAUAAAAAAUAAAAAUAAACAAAUACCAGAAGCCAGGAAUUUUGUCGCUGUUACGCUUUCUUUGUGAUCCUUGGAUAUUAUUAGAAAUUUUAUAGCUUCUCAAUCUUUUGAGGAGAUAUUUAUGGUCACAAGCAUAAAAGAAAAUCUAUAUUCGAUUGAAUCUCUGGUUCUUAUUUAAUACGAUGUCGUUUAUUCAAUGGCAGAUUCUUUUCAUAUUUAUUCAGUGUUUUUUUUUCUCUCCAAUCAAUAUCAAGCAUCAGCGAAGUGCUUUAAUAACUAACGACUUUACAGGAAUCCAUUUCUUCGCUCUUUUUUACCUAGAUAUUUGAAUCAGAUUAUACCAUAUUUAUGUGCAAUAGAAUGCUUACAACCCGCAAAUAAAUUAUUGAUCAAAUAAUAUGGCUAUCGCUCACAAAAUCAAACACGGGAACAGAAUGUUGAGUCAAGUUCACAGACAAACAGGAAGACCAUUAACGCAGCGCAUAUUGUCCCAUAUACGUCGUGCAAAAGAAAACGAAUAUCGUGGCUCAAAUUCGCCUCUCUACAAGUCAAUAUGUCCACUAAUUUACGCGACUCGCGUGUUUGGACUAGCGCCGUAUGAAUUUGAGAAUAAUAAACUCGUCCCAUCAAAUUCUUACUUGAGUUUUGCAUUUUUUUGGUUCUGUGUCUACACCUACGUCAUCUGGCGUUACGUUGACGGCGUUUUGGAUCCCAAAACAAAUAUGAAGACAACUCUUUAUCAUACGCAAUUCGUUAAAACUAUGGGUAAUUACUUGGUAGCAAUAACGGACUUAAUAGUUUGCAUAAGUACACGAAAAGAAAUAAGUUGGAUUUGGAAUAAAAUCGAAGACUACGACCAAGCAAUGCGAGAUCUAGGAUACGCGAGAAAUGAAAAAGAAACUCGGGUGGUGGUUUGGUUUAUAAUCGGAUUCAACAUCGUAAUUUGGGGAGUAAUAAACAAUCUAGGAAUGGCUGCAUUUAACGAGAGUUUUUUUUAUAACGUGACAUACAUGAUGGUGUACGUAGGAGUUGCUGUUGCAGUAACUAAAUUCUCGGGACUUGUAUUGAUACUCGGCCAGCGAUUCAAACAGUUGAAUGAAAUCAUCAAGAGUCGUGUUUACAAAUCGCGGUGGGUACACGUUGACCCCAUUAUCGAUGACAAACUCGUGGAUUGUCUUCACAGCGAGCUUACUGCUGUUGGAAUGAAGCUCAACAAUGCCUACAAAUGGUCGUUGAUACUUUGGUUGGGGAAUUUGAGCUUUCACAGUGUUUCUUCUUCUUAUUUCGUUAUUGAUUGGUUAAUGGAUGGGAACUUUCGUCUGAAUCUUAUUAAUUGUCUUCUUGGUUGGUUCGUAGCUAUGGUUUCUCAAAUUUUUUUACUAAAUUACUCUUGCCACUACACGUCUAGCGAGCAAAUGGUAUGCUGAUUAAUCUGGCUCAGGAUUGUUCUCAGCGGGAUAUUUAACUAUGCAAUUUUCUUACCCAGGCAAACUGCAUGAGCUACAUAAUGCUAGGAUGGAAACGUUGGCUCUACACCCACGAUAGCAAGAUGGAAGUGGAAACUUCUCUUCACCUGGUGAAUCGUCAGCUACAUUUCUCUGCAGAUGGAUUCUUUUAUGUUAAUCUACC